CAGACCGAUUUGGAGAACUUGAAGAAGAAGAAAGAGGACGAGAAGGCCGUCAAGGAACUCAAGGCCAAGGCUGCGCAGAAGGGCCCGCUCGGAGGCGCCGGUCUCAAGAAGAGCGGCAAAAAGUGA
rnacentral:rRNA from 1 species